ensembl:lncRNA RNF207-AS1 RNF207 antisense RNA 1
AGGACCUUGGCUGCGGGGUCUUCAAGGGUCAUCGCCGCCUCAUUUCCUCGGCGGCCAAUUGGGGGCGCCAGAGAGCAGCGGACGCCCCUCCACCGACUUUCCAGCGCUUGGGAGGCGGAGUGAGACGCCCUGUAAUCCCAGCCCUGCCUUUCGCUGGUUGUGAGCUCUUGGCCAUGUUACUGACCUCUCAGAGCCUCAGCGCUGGGUUAAAAUAGAACUGGUGUCCUGAUAAUGGGUCGACGUGAUCAGUGAGCUUUCUCCGCCCGUGUUCUCCUGAGUGUCCUGAGAGCAGCCCGUUUCUGCCCCUCUUGCGAUUACAAAGUCAAGCCCAGAGCCUGACCCACAGUAGUGCUCAAUAAAGGCUUAGAAAAAGCUCGG